rnacentral:misc_RNA from 1 species
UACGGAGGGGGCUAGCGUUGUUCGGAAUUACUGGGCGUAAAGCGCGCGUAGGCGGAUUGGAAAGUUGGGGGUGAAAUCCCGGGGCUCAACCCCGGAACGGCCUCCAAAACUAUCAGUCUAGAGGUCGAGAGAGAUGAGUGGAAUUCCGAGUGUAGAGGUGAAAUUCGUAGAAAUUCGGAGGAGCGCCAGUGGCGAAGGCGGCCCACUGGCUCGAUACUGACGCUGAGGGGCGAAAGCUUGGGGAGCAAACAGG